rnacentral:hammerhead_ribozyme from 1 species
AUUCAGCUGAUGAGUCCCGAAUAGGACGAAACGCGCGUCCUGGAU